UUACUUGCUUUGGCAGUACCUAUUCUGAAUUGGAAUGAUACAGAGAAGAUUAGCAUGGCCACUGCAAAAGGAUGAUAUACAAAUUGUGAAGCCAUCUACAAUUCU